UAUACAUGCAGUCGAGCGGACUUUUAAAGCUUGCUUUUGAAAGGUCAGCGGCGGACGGGUGAGUAACACGUGGGCAACCUGCCUGUAAGACUGGGAUAACUUCGGGAAACCGGAGCUAAUACCGGAUAAUAUAAGGAACCUCCUGGUUCUUUAUUGAAAGAUGGUUUCGGCUAUCACUUACAGAUGGGCCCGCGGCGCAUUAGCUAGUUGGUGAGGUAACGGCUCACCAAGGCGACGAUGCGUAGCCGACCUGAGAGGGUGAUCGGCCACACUGGGACUGAGACACGGCCCAGACUCCUACGGGAGGCAGCAGUAGGGAAUCUUCCACAAUGGACGAAAGUCUGAUGGAGCAACGCCGCGUGAGCGAUGAAGGCCUUCGGGUCGUAAAGCUCUGUUGUUAGGGAAGAACAAGUGCGAGAGUAACUGCUCGCACCUUGACGGUACCUAACCAGAAAGCCACGGCUAACUACGUGCCAGCAGCCGCGGUAAUACGUAGGUGGCAAGCGUUGUCCGGAAUUAUUGGGCGUAAAGCGCGCGCAGGUGGUCCUUUAAGUCUGAUGUGAAAGCCCACGGCUCAACCGUGGAGGGUCAUUGGAAA
rnacentral:rRNA from 2 species